CCUGGGUCAAAUGUUCAUUGGAGGCGGGACUGUUUUGAAGAGCACAUGACAAACCAAAGCGCGGAGAGCAAAAGUUAAGUGCAUGCACAGGAAUGGAGUCGUCAAGUUCUUCUGGCCAAGGCCAAGAGAUGAUAUCAACUGGUAUGGGGAUGACCAGACUGUGUGUCUGAUGCCAAAGCCGCUGCCAGUGAACAAAAGAUCAGCUCAGAUUGACCACAGUAUCUGGAAGUACUUGGAGGAGCACUUGAAUGUAUGAAAGUGGCAGAUGUGAACUGGCUACCAGAGAAGAAGCCGUCAGUGUCUAGAAAGCAAUGGAGACUGGCUCGGAGAUGAUAACAGAUGUAUGUGACACAAUAACAUGGCAACGACAAACAUAUGGACAACCUUUCCUAAAGACAAACACAUCUCAAGUAACAGUGAAGUUAGUUUGGGAAAUAAUUAGUACGUGAAAAGUUAGUACAGGAAAUAGGCCUAUUCCAUGAACAUGUUUUACUGCAUAUAAAAUGUUUGUAUCAAUGCUUUUGGGAAAACGUAGUCUUAGUUUACAUUCAAUGUUGUGUUUCUAUUGUUCUUGUGUUUCUAUAGUUCUAAUAGACAUGUUUUAUGUUUGUACGACAAUGUUGUGUUAGGAAAUACAUUUUAGUCAAUAGGCUUCAUCUUUUGGUCUUAAUCUUUGACCAAUAACCUUCAUUUUAUUGUUCAUAUGAAAUCAACACGUUAUAAAAUGAUUUGUAAUAAAA